AUUGAACGCUGGCGGCAUGCUUUACACAUGCAAGUCGAACGGCAGCGCGGGCUUCGGCCUGGCGGCGAGUGGCCAACGGGUGAGUAAUACAUCGGAACGUGCCCAGUAGUGGGGGAUAGCUCGGCGAAAGCCGGAUUAAUACCGCAUACGACCUGAGGGUGAAAGCGGGGGAUCUUCGGACCUCGCGCUAUUGGAGCGGCCGAUGGCAGAUUAGCUAGUUGGUGGGGUAAAGGCCUACCAAGGCGACGAUCUGUAGCUGGUCUGAGAGGACGACCAGCCACACUGGGACUGAGACACGGCCCAGACUCCUACGGGAGGCAGCAGUGGGGAAUUUUGGACAAUGGGCGAAAGCCUGAUCCAGCAAUGCCGCGUGUGUGAUGAAGGCCUUCGGGUUGUAAAGCACUUUUGGCGGGAACGAAAAGGACUGUGCCAAUACCACGGUUCGAUGACGGCACCCGCAGAAUAAGCACCGGCUAACUACGUG
rnacentral:rRNA from 1 species